rnacentral:tRNA from 1 species
GCACCCAUAGCUCAAUUGGAUAGAGCAUCAGACUUCGGAUCUGAGGGUUGGGGGUUCGAACCCCUCUGGGUGCA